UGCUUCCUGUGCCGUCCACAAUUCAUACCUAGCUCCCACGCUUAUGCCGCGGAGGUUGAGAGUUUAAACUGAACAUUCCCAGUGUGUCCUGGCCAUUCUCUAGUCUAGCCGAUCGCCUCAUUGUGGACUAGAUUUUAUGGUACUGCACUUUUAGCUACCUUGCCUCAUGUCUCUGCAUCAAGGGAUCUACUAUUGACUGAGCCAUGGCACUUGUCUCACUUAAGGAUUGUGGAUGAUUGGCAAAAUUGUAAAAGUG